CAAGCGUUGUUCGGAAUUACUGGGCGUAAAGGGCUCGUAGGCGGCCAACUAAGUCGGACGUGAAAUCCCUCGGCUUAACCGGGGAACUGCGUCUGAUACUGGAUGGCUGGAGUGUGGGAGAGGGAUGCGGAAUUCCAGGUGUAGCGGUGAAAUGCGUAGAUAUCUGGAGGAACACCGGUGGCGAAGGCGGCAUCCUGGACCAUUACUGACACUGAAAAGCGAAAGCCAGGGGAGCAAACGGG
rnacentral:rRNA from 1 species